AAAAAAAGGGCGUAUGGUGGAUGCCUAGGUUCUAAGAGGCGAUGAAGGACGUGGCUUGGCUGCGAUAAGCGUCGGGGAGGUGUCGAGCAACCUUCGAUCCGGCGAUUUCCGAAUAGGGAAACCUACCACGACGAAAAUUCGUGGUAUCUAUCCUGUAACUCAGGAUAUGAGGCAAACCCAGGGAAGUGAAACAUCUCAGUACCUGGAGGAAAAGAAAAGAAUGAAAUAUUUAAAACACUGGCCUGUCAAUUGGGGCAAGUGUUUUAAAUAUUUCUCAUUCCCUUAGUAGCGGCGAGCGAAACGGGAGAAGCCCAAACCUCAAAUUUGUUGCUAGUUUACUAGUUUGCUAAUUUGGGGGGUUGUAAGAUGCUGUUGUUCCUGCUUCGGCGGGAGAGAGUUUAUACAACAAAAAUAUUAGCGGAAUGCGGCUGGAAAGCCCAACCAAAGAAGGUGAUAGUCCUGUAUGCGAAAGUAUUUUUGUACUUUUAGACAGUAUUCUUGAGUACUUCGACACAUGACAGGGUCGGAGGAAACAGGCCGCACUAAACGGCCAAGGCUAAAUACUCUUGGAGACCGAUAGUGAACAAGUACCGUGAGGGAAAGGUGAAAAGCAGCCCGGUGAGGGCGAUGAAAUAGUCUCUGAAACCAUAUGCCUACAAAGAGUCGGAGCCCCUCGCGACAGCAAUGUUGCUCGGGGUGACGGCGUGCCUAUUGAAGAAUGAGCCAACGAGUUAUCAUGCAUUACGUAAUCUAAUCCCGCUCAGCGGGAGGAGGUGUAGCGAAAGCGAGUCUGAAUAGGGCGUUUAUCAAAUCAUACACGUGUUCUUAUUAAAGAAUACGUGUGUGGUUUGAACGUAGUUCGUGAUAGACCCGAAGCCAGGUGAGCUUACCAUGGCCAGGAUGAAUGUCGUCGAAAGGCGGCAGGAGGUCCGAACCGGUGAGUGGUACAAAACUCUCGGAUGAGCUGUGGUAAGGAGUGAAAAGCUAAUCGAACCUGGUAAUAGCUGGUUCUCUCCGAAAUAGCUUUUGGGCUAGCGGCAAUCGCAAACCAGCAGGUAGAGCACUGGAAGGUCUGUAAAGGGAGAAAUCUCGACAGUCCUAUCAAACUCCGAAUGGUUGGUGUUUCGGAUUGCUAGUCAGACCAUGGGGGCUAAGCUCCAUCGGUCAAGAGGGAAAGAGCCCAGAUCGCAAUCUAAGGUCCCUAAAUCUACGUUCAGUGCACUUAAGGAGGUGAGGUUUUUCAGACAGCGAGGAGGUUGGCUUAGAAGCAGCCAUCCUUUAAAGAGUGCGUAACAGCUCACUCGUCGAAAGACCUUGCGCCGAAAAUAAUCGGGGCUUAAACGUAGUACCGAAGGUGCGAAUUGCAUAUCUUUAUUGAUAUGUGAUGGUAGGAGAGCAUUUUGUAUGCUGUGAAGCGGGACCGCGAGGCUUCUCGUGGAGCGUACAGAAGAGAGAAUGUUGGCACAAGUAACCACAAUGCGGGUGAAAUCCCCGCACGCCGAAAGCACAAGGUUUCCUUGGCAAUGACGAUCAUCCAAGGGUUAGUCGGGCCUAAGCCAAUGGCGAAAGCCGCAGGUGAUGGACACACGGUUAAUAUUCCGUGACUUGGCUAUUGAUUGAUGGAGGGACGAAGUUCAGUAUACGGAGCGUGUUAUUGGAUUCGCGUUCAUGCCGUAAGGGUGCGUUCUAGGAAAAUCCGGAAUGCUGUGUUUAAUCACACACCCAAGCGGAGUGAGAAUUUCUUCCUACGGGUUGGAAAACUUCGUAAAGCGAGCUUCCAAGAAAAUCUUCUACAAUUAUCAAUAGUUGAACCGUACCGCAAACCGACACAGGUGUGCAGGUCGAGUAGACCAAGGCGAACGGGUGAGACCUCCCUAAGGAACUCGGCAAAAAAGCGGCCGUAACUUCGGGAUAAGGCCUUCCCGAACCCCGAGCGCAAGCGAAGGGUGAGGGACGCAGCGAAAGUUUCUCUGGCGACUGUUUAUCAAAAACACAGCUCCCUGCGAACUCGCAAGAGGAUGUAUAGGGGGUGACGCCUGACCAAUGCGAGAAGGUUAAAUACUGACUGUGCGUGGUCCCGCAAUUGCGGGGUUGCGUGCGGAUUGGUAUAAGCCCUCGUCAAUGUCGGCGAUAACUAUAAUCGUCCUAAGGUAGCGCAAUUCCUUGUCGGGUAAGUUCCGACGCGCACGAAAGGCGUAACGACUGGAGAACUGUCUCGGGGAGGUGCCCGGUGAAAAUGCGAUGCCGGUGAAGAUGCCGGCUACCUGCAGUUAGACGAAAAGACCCCGGAAGCUUUACUGUAGCUUGAUAUUGGGCUUAGGUCUUUAAUGCGUAGCGUAGUGGGGAGUCUACGAAGUGCCGCUUUUGGGCGGCAUGGAGACGCCAGUGAAAUACCCAUCUUUAAAGAGCUAAGUUCUAACCCCCGCGGCAAAAACGCGGAGGGACAGUAUCUGGUGGGCAGUUUUGGUGGGGCGCUAUCCUCCUAAAAAGUAACGGAGGAGUUUACAAAGGUCAGCUAAGCGCGGAUGGAAAUCGCGCUCGUCGUGUAAUGGCAUAAGCUGGCUUAACUGCGAGACGGACAUGUCGAGCAGAUGCGAAAGCAGAACAUAGUGAUCCGAUCGUGGGUAUUAGACACCGCGAAAGCUCAACGGCUAAAAGUUACUCCGGGGAUAACAGGCUGGUACCGCCCGAGCGUCCAUAGCGACGGCGGUGUUCGGCACCUCGAUGUCGGCUCGUCCUAUCCUGGGGGUGGAGAAGCUCCCAAGGGUUUGGCUGUUCGCCAAUUAAAAGGGUACGUGAGCUGGGUUCAAACCGUCGUGAGACAGGUUGGUCUCCUAUCUACUGCAGGCGUUGGUUCUUGAGGGGAGUUCUUUCUAGUACGAGAGGACCGAAAGGAACGUACCUCUGGUGUACGAGCUGUCGUGCCAACGGCACCGCUCGGUAGCUAUGUACGGACGGGAUAACCGCUGAAAGCAUCUAAGCGGGAAGCCCACCCCAAGAUGAGGAACCGUUUGAGGACCGUGAGAGACUAUCACGUUGAUAGGCCCUAGGUGUAAGUACUGUAAAGUAUUGAGCCGAGGGGUACUAAUAGUCCGAGU
rnacentral:rRNA from 1 species